GGAAAGAUGUCCGAGUGGUCGAAGGAGACGGACUCGAAAUCCGUUGUAGUGCCUGGCAUUACCGAGGGUUCGAAUCCCUCUCUUUCCG
rnacentral:tRNA from 1 species